rnacentral:rRNA from 1 species
GUGGGGAAUCUUCCGCAAUGGACGAAAGUCUGACGGAGCAACGCCGCGUGAGUGAAGAAGGUUUUCGGAUCGUAAAGCUCUUUCGUUAGGGACGAACGUGCUCUUUGUGAAUAAUGAGGAGUAAUGACGGUACCUAAAUAAGAAGCCACGGCUAACUACGUGCCAGCAGCCGCGGUAAUACGUAGGUGGCAAGCGUUGUCCGGAAUUAUUGGGCGUAAAGCGCGCGCAGACGGGAUAUCAAGUCUGUCUUAAAAGUGCGAGGCUCAACCUCGUGAGGGGACAGAAACUGGUAUUCUUGAGUGUCGGAGAGGAAAGUGGAAUUCCAAGUGUAGCGGUGAAAUGCGUAGAGAUUUGGAAGAACACCAGUGGCGAAGGCGACUUUCUGGACGAUGUCUGACGCUGAGGCGCGAAAGCUAGGGGAGCGAACGGGAUUAGAUACCCGUGUAGUCC